GCAAAACCAAUACAUGUUGGAUAUUAUGAUCAUACAGUUAUAUCGUCGAUUUUGUCAACAUUAUUUUUUUUUUUUUGUAACUUGUUCAUUUUUAAGAAUGUGCGACUAUUUACCUGAACACGAAAAUCUCCGAGAGAACAAACUGCAGUGAAGAUUUCAUAUUUUUUUCUUUUCUCUCCCAUGCGCAAAUGUGGCUCAUAUUCUGGACGCGUGAAGAGUGACUGUGUGUUAAUUUGUGUGCGAUGUUGUCAUUUUCAAAAGAUCUUCAGCAGGGACGGUAUUUGUAUUUAUUUUUUUAUCCCUAUACAAUCUAAAAGGGACAGACUUAGGUACGCAUAAUAACUGAUUUCAAUUUAUAUCGAAAACUUUGCUCAGAUUCUAUUGUAUUUUGUGCUUCGGAAAAACAAUUUUUCCCCCCACUUCAUUUAAUUAAACACAUGAAUUAAAUGAUCAUAAAACCAUACGAAUUUACACCAGUAUUAUUAUUUUUAUUUUAUUGUUCAGUGUGAGAAAUUAGGUUACAAUUAGUUUAUUAGAUUAAGUAAUGUUUUUAUCUUUAAGAAAUAUUUUUUUGUUUAUUAUUUUUUUCUUUUUCGUUUGAUAUAAAGCUCGGAAUAAAAGGGUUUUUAAGUAUGUCUACUUAUCUGGCGAAGUGAUAUUUUUUUUUUAAAUAUCACUUUGAUUUGUAAAUACGUAUGAUCAUUUCAAAUACUGUAUUUAUUUGAGAGUGUUUGGCUAGAGAUAAAAGAUAUCUCAAAUAGAAAUAUUAAAUGAUGAAAUG
rnacentral:misc_RNA from 1 species